UACGUAGGGACCAAGCGUUGUUCGGAUUUACUGGGCGUAAAGGGCGCGUAGGCGGCAUGACAAGUCACUUGUGAAAUCUCUGGGCUUAACCCAGAACGGCCAAGUGAAACUGUCGCGCUAGAGUGCGGAAGGGGCAAUCGGAAUUCUUGGUGUAGCGGUGAAAUGCGUAGAUAUCAAGAGGAACACCUGAGGUGAAGACGGGUUGCUGGGCCGACACUGACGCUGAUGCGCGAAAGCCAGGGGAGCAAACAGG
rnacentral:rRNA from 1 species